rfam:Oryza nivara chromosome 12, whole genome shotgun sequence.
AAAGACUCAAUUACUAGGUUUCCGUGUCCUAUGUUUGACUGUCCGUAUUAUAUGAAUUUUUUUAUGAUUAGUAUUUUUAUUGUUGUUAAUGAUAAAACAUAAAUAAUACUUUAUACGUGACUUAUCUUUUUAAACUUUUUUAUAAUUUUUUCAAAUAAGACGAACGGUCAAACGUUGGACAUGGAAACUCAGCAAUUGAGUUAUU